rnacentral:rRNA from 1 species
GUUGAACGCUGGCGGCGUGCUUAACACAUGCAAGUCGAACGGUAACAGGCCGCACGGUGCUGACGAGUGGCGAGAGGGGGGAACGUGCGAGGGACAGGGCAGAGACGUGGGGGCUACCUCCUGGAAAGCGCAGGUAAUAGCGGAUAAGACGGGAGGAUGAGGGCGGGGGGCCGGAAGGGUCUGGGAGAGUGGAGGGGUCGGUGUGGGAUGGGGUCGUUGGUGGGGGAAAGGCUGCCCAGGCCAACGAUCAGUAACUGGGCUGAGGGGAGGAGGAGCCACACUGGGACUGCGACACGGCCCAGACUCCUACUGGAGGCAGCAGUGGUGAAUUUUGGACAAUGGUCGCAAGCCUGAUCCAGCAAUGCCGCGUGCAGGAAGAAGGCCUUCGGGUUGUAGACUGCUUUUGUACGGAACGAAACGGCUCUGGUUAAUACCCGGGUCUAAUGACGGUACCGUAAGAAUAAGCACCGGCUAACUACGUG